ensembl:lncRNA
AUGGGCUUCACAUUAUUCUGCAAUCUUUUAAAAUACAGCGGUGCUUCAGGUGGAUACAGAUGCAGGUUUGAAUGGUCCCUGCAGAGUGUUAAAUAUAUAUUACCCGUAAUAGCAACCGUAUUAUAUUUGGACAUGUUGCUAAUUCUCCCUGGCUGCUCUGUACCUCGCUCGCAGCGGGAGGACAACCCUGGAGAUCUAACAGGGCUCAGGGUUGCUGGCAGAGCAAUUCCUGUGCUCCACACGCUGAGGAGCCUGCUGACCGCCCCCUGCCCCUGCCCUCCUCAGGCAGCACCCUGGGCUUGUCUCUUUUUGGGUGUACGCAGCCUCCCUCAACCACUGUAUUUAAGUGCCCGUUUAGUGGAAACGUUUUGAAUGCGUUUAGCUUGAUGGGAUAAAAGCUAUUCUUACGCCUCCGGAGAACACGCUGCCAGAGAAAGCAUGGCGAGCAGAGCAGCCUUUCCUGGGGAGCUGGAGGCAAGGCUCUGCUCCUGGCCCUUCAGCCAGCAGACGGGAACGAAGGCUGGUCAGCGAGGAACGACAACAAAAAAACCCCACUCGAGCUUAAAAUGCCGUUUCCAAAAAGUCACCCUGCAGAUCUUUCCACUUGCAAAAAGUCCUGUCCGCAAAGGCGCUGAAGCACUGUGCUUAUGAACGGACAAAACCUGUGCGGGACCGGUUCUCUGUUUCACUAACUCAGCUCUACGUUGGACCUACCGCAAGACGCAACUGCAUACAUGCAGGGGAGAGCGAGGCAAAAAAUGAUGAAGGACCGAAUCUGCAGCAUACCUGCCGGCUUCGGUGAAGCUACAACAGCUUUUAUCAGCGUUUUAUCUGACCCUAACAAAAGGAGCGAAUUGUUUAGCAGAGGAAGAGGGUUCUUUGAUUGUAUCUUGCUGUAGAUGAAUUGCCCAAGCAAGGGCAAAGGGACAGGAAGCGAAGGGGGAGGAGGAGGAGGAGGUGAUGCUGAAGGUAGGCGCUGCUGUUGUUGAGUCCUCUGCUAACUCCCACUCAGCACCACGUUACUAACAUGCCCUGGCCUUUUGCAAAUGCUGAUCGAGGGGCAGAGGGUCGGGCCUGCUCUCUGGCAUAGCAAUCCUACUAAGAAGUUGUGCUUCUCACUCCUGGCAUUAAUAUUUUAGUUUUUAUUCAGGCAAAGCCAAAACCAUUCAGGUUGAAGGGAGUUUUGUAAGAGUAAAGCCUGCAGAAUGAGACCCUCUGUGCUUCGCACAGUGUAAGAAAGAGCUCGAUUUUCCAAAGCACCAAGUACAAGACUUAAAGCCAAGCAUGAAACUCCAGCAAACAAGGACGAAACCCUAGGCAAAACUCAGAUAAAUCCAGCGAACUCCACAACACUGGAACUGCAGGUGCCUCCCUGCAAAUCAAACGUGCGACGCAAACAGCAAAGAGGCAAUCUGAUUUUAUAUGUUGGACCAAACUCAUUCAAAUGUCAGCGUGUCACUCCCGAGCCCAUAUAUAUCUUUCUGAGGGAUGAGGGAUGCUUUACUAUUACUUCAAAACCGCAACGGUGCUGAAUGUUAAUGCAGUUCCUGUUGUGUAGUGCUGAUCAGAUAAUACACUGUACUACUUACAUGAAGAAGUUUUAAGCGGUGCGCUUGUUGUUUUACCCGCCAGUUCUCCUUCCGAAAGCAAUCCUCGUUUUUUGGCUAGCAAUAAAUCUUAGAUCUGAAAGGAAGAAUUGAAUUCC